CAGCCCCAGCGCGUCAGCAGGCACUCCCAACCACAUCCAGUGCACCUUCUAAAAGGAAUUUGCGGGGGUAUCGUUUUGCUGUCGAGAUCACUUGACCACCCCCCUCCCAAUCGGGGUGCUUUGGUUCCAAUCACCACGACCCCUUGGAAAGGCCUUCAGAGACAAUUUACACGUUGCUUCUCAACAACAGCCAACGGCCACCCCGACGCCUGCUGGGAGCCUGGCGCAGACUGGCCUCUCAGGCCUGUUUCCCUUCUGUGAGGCAAGACUGAAGUGAACAGCUCGCUCAGGGCUGCUGUGAGUGCCACGAGAGCCGACAAAACAGCAGCAUCUGCAGUGCCGGGUCUUCCUGGCAGCCGCUCAACACCCAGCUGGGGUGGACAGAAGAGGAAAGCAAGGCUCCAGGUUUGGCUUUCAACCCCGUCUAGGCCCCAUGGACAGACUGGAGAGGAGACCGGGACAGGGGCGCUGGACACAGCAUGUUGGAGCAAGUCAGGC